rnacentral:rRNA from 1 species
CAGUCGCCGCGGUAAUACGUAGGUGGCAAGCGUUGUCCGGAAUUAUUGGGCGUAAAGGGCUCGCAGGCGGUUUCUUAAGUCUGAUGUGAAAGCCCCGGCUCAACCGGGGAGGGUCAUUGGAAACUGGGAAACUUGAGUGCAGAAGAGGAGAGUGGAAUUCCACGUGUAGCGGUGAAAUGCGUAGAGAUGUGGAGGAACACCAGUGGCGAAGGCGACUCUCUGGUCUGUAACUGACGCUGAGGAGCGAAAGCGUGGGGAGCGAACAGGAUUAGAUACCCGUGUAGUCCCUGUCUCUUAUACA